rnacentral:rRNA from 1 species
UACCUAGAGUUUGUAGACUUCGGUCUGCUACCUCUUACCCAUGUCUUUUGAGUACCUUCGUUUCCUCGGCGGGUCCGCCCGCCGAUUGGACAACAUUCAAACCCUUUGCAGUUGCAAUCAGCGUCUGAAAAAACAUAAUAGUUACAACUUUCAACAACGGAUCUCUUGGUUCUGGCAUCGAUGAAGAACGCAGCGAAAUGCGAUAAGUAGUGUGAAUUGCAGAAUUCAGUGAAUCAUCGAAUCUUUGAACGCACAUUGCGCCCCUUGGUAUUCCAUGGGGCAUGCCUGUUCGAGCGUCAUUUGUACCUUCAAGCUCUGCUUGGUGUUGGGUGUUUGUCUCGCCUCUGCGUGUAGACUCGCCUUAAAACAAUUGGCAGCCGGCGUAUUGAUUUCGGAGCGCAGUACAUCUCGCGCUUUGCACUCAUAACGACGACGUCCAAAAGUACAUUUUUACACUCUUGACCUCGGAUCAGGUAGGGAUACCCGCUGAACUUAAGCAUAUCA